UUUUGGACAAUGGGGGCAACCCUGAUCCAGCCAUCCCGCGUGUGCGAUGAAGGCCUUNNNGUUGUNANGAACUUUUGGCAGGGNAGNNAAGCCGCGGGUUAAUACCCUGCGGUUCUGACGGUACCUUCAGAAUAAGCACCGGCUAACUACGUGCCAGCAGCCGCGGUAAUACGUAGGGUGCAAGCGUUAAUCGGAAUUACUGGGCGUAAAGCGUGCGCAGGCGGUUCGGCAAGAAGGAUGUGAAAUCCCGGGGCUUAACCUCGGAACUGCAUUCUUAACUGCCGGGCUAGAGUAUGUCAGAGGGGGGUAGAAUUCCGCGUGUAGCAGUGAAAUGCGUAGAGAUGCGGAGGAAUACCGAUGGCGAAGGCAGCCCCCUGGGAUAAUACUGACGCUCAUGCACGAAAGCGUGGGGAGCAAAC
rnacentral:rRNA from 1 species